rnacentral:rRNA from 1 species
GACGAACGCUGGCGGCGUGCUUAACACAUGCAAGUCGAACGGAAAGGCCCUGCUUUUGUGGGGUGCUCGAGUGGCGAACGGGUGAGUAACACGUGAGUAACCUGCCCCUGACUUUGGGAUAACUUCAGGAAACUCGGGCUAAUACCGGAUAGGACCUCCUGCUGCAUGGUGGGGGUUGGUAAGUUUCGGCGGUUGGGGCUGGACUCGCGGCUUAUCAGCUCGUUGGUGGGGUAGUGGCUUACCAAGGCUUUGACGGGUAGCCGGCCUGAGAGGGUGACCGGCCACAUUGGGACUGAGAUGCGGCCCAGACUCCUACGGGAGGCAGCAGUGGGGAAUAUUGCACAAUGGGCGGAAGCCUGAUGCAGCAACGCCGCGUGCGGGAUGACGGCCUUCGGGUUGUAAACCGCGUUCGCCUGUGACGAAGCGUGAGUGACGGUAAUGGGUAAAGAAGCACCGGCUAACUACGUG